UACGGAGGGAGCUAGCGUUGUCCGGAAUUAUUGGGCGUAAAGAGCUUGUAGGCGGUUUGUCGCGUCUGCUGUGAAAAUCCGGGGCUCAACCCCGGACUUGCAGUGGGUACGUGCAGACUAGAGUGUGGUAGGGGAGAUUGGAAUUCCUGGUGUAGCGGUGAAAUGCGCAGAUAUCAGGAGGAACAUCGAUGGCGAAGGCAGGUCUCUGGGCCACUACUGACGCUGAGAAGCGAAAGCAUGGGGAGCGAACAGG
rnacentral:rRNA from 1 species